GAUGAACGCUGGCGGCGUGCUUAACACAUGCAAGUCGAACGAGAAGUGAAGACGGAAACCUUCGGGCGGAAGGCUUUAUUUCGAGUGGCGGACGGGUGAGUAACGCGUGGGUAACCUGCCUCAUACAGGGGGAUAACAGUUGGAAACGACUGUUAAUACCGCAUAAGACCACAGCACCGCAUGGUGCGGGGGUAAAAACUCCGGUGGUAUGAGAUGGACCCGCGUUCGAUUAGCCAGUUGGCGGGGUAACGGCCCACCAAAGCGACGAUCGAUAGCCGAUCUGAGAGGAUGACCGGCCACAUUGGGACUGAGACACGGCCCAAACUCCUACGGGAGGCAGCAGUGGGGAAUAUUGCACAAUGGGGGAAACCCUGAUGCAGCGACGCCGCGUGAGUGAAGAAGUAUUUCGGUAUGUAAAGCUCUAUCAGCGGGGAAGAAAAUGACGGUACCUGAGUAAGAAGCCCCGGCUAACUACGUG
rnacentral:rRNA from 1 species